GGAAAGAUGCAAGAGUGGUUGAAUUGGCACGCCUGGAAAGCGUGUGUACCCCGAAAGGGUACCGGGGGUUCGAAUCCCCCUCUUUCCG
rnacentral:tRNA from 1 species